CGAGCUGGCAGGGCGGCCGCGACGCGGCACCAUCGGUGCCGUAUCGAGGAAAGUCCGGACUCCGCAGGGCAGGGUGGUUGCUAACGGCAACCCGGGGUGACCCGCGGGACAGUGCCACAGAAAACAGACCGCCUGGCCGGUCCGGCCAGGUAAGGGUGAAACGGUGGUGUAAGAGACCACCAGCGUCCCGGGUGACCGGGGCGGCUGGGUAAACCCCACCCGGAGCAAGGCCAAGAGGGAGCUCCGGCUCCUGCGCAGGCGUUCGAGGGCGGCCCGUCCGAUGCCUGCGGGUAGGCCGCUGGAGCCUGUCGGCAACGGCAGGCCGAGAGGGAUGGUCGCCCAUCGUGGCCCGCAAGGCGCCACGGGGACAGAAUCCGGCUUACAUGCCAGCUCGUCCA
rnacentral:RNase_P_RNA from 1 species